UGCCGGUGCAAGCCGGAGGAAGGUGGGGAUGACGUCAAAUCAUCAUGCCCCUUAUGACCUGGGCUACACACGUGCUACAAUGGAUAGUACAAAGGGUCGCGAAGCCGCGAGGUGGAGCUAAUCCCAUAAAACUAUUCUCAGUUCGGAUUGUAGGCUGCAACUCGCCUACAUGAAGCCGGAAUCGCUAGUAAUCGUGGAUCAGCAUGCCACGGUGAAUACGUUCCCGGGCCUUGUACACACCGCCCGUCACACCACGAGAGUUUGUAACACCCGAAGUCGGUAGGGUAACCUUUAUGGAGCCAGCCGCCGAAGGUGGGACAGAUAAUUGGGGUGAAGUCGUAACAAGGUAGCCGUAUCGGAAGGUGCGGCUGGAUCACCUCCUUUCUAAGGAA
rnacentral:rRNA from 1 species